UACAGAGGGUGCGAGCGUUAAUCGGAAUUACUGGGCGUAAAGCGUGCGUAGACGGUUCUGUAAGUCGGAUGUGAAAUCCCCGGGCUCAACCUGGGAAUUGCAUUCGAGACUGCAAAGCUUGGGUGCGGAAGAGGGAAGCGGAAUUUCCGGUGUAGCGGUGAAAUGCGUAGAUAUCGGAAGAACAUCAGUGGCGAAAGCGGCUUCCUGGUCCAGCACCGACGUUCAGGCACGAAAGCGUGGGGAGCAAACAGGG
rnacentral:rRNA from 1 species